CCCUUAGAUGUCCUGGGCCGCACGCGCGCUACACUGAUGCAUGCAACGAGUUUUUCCUUCGCCGAAAGGUGUGGGUAAUCUUUUGAAACAUCGUCGUGCUGGGGAUAGAUCAUUGCAAUUUUUGAUCUUGAACGAGGAAUUCCUAGUAAGCGCGAGUCAUCAGCUCGCGUUGAUUACGUCCCUGCCCUUUGUACACACCGCCCGUCGCUACUACCGAUUGAAUGGUUUAGUGAGGACUCCUGAUUGGCGCCGCCGCCCCGGCAACGGAGCAGCGGACUGCCGAAAAGUUGUUCAAACUUGAUCAUUUAGAGGAAGUAAAAGUCGUAACA
rnacentral:rRNA from 1 species